UACGUAGGGGGCAAGCGUUGUCCGGAAUUAUUGGGCGUAAAGAGCGUGUAGGCGGUCCGGUAAGUCCGCUGUGAAAGUCAAAGGCUCAACCUUUGAAAGCCGGUGGAUACUGUGAGGCUAGAGUACGGAAGAGGCGAGUGGAAUUCCUGGUGUAGCGGUGGAAUGCGCAGAUAUCAGGAGGAACACCAAUAGCGAAGGCAGCUCGCUGGGACGUUACUGACACUGAGGCGCGAAAGCGUGGGGAGCGAACAGG
rnacentral:rRNA from 1 species